GAGAACUGAUAUUUCGAUGGAUGAAAUGAGGGAGUAACGCCCCGAAGCGUCCACACUGAUACUCCGACUGGCAUAGGCGCGCAACCGCCGAUUGUCAGAAGCUCGGUGAAGUCGGCAGAAAGAUGUCGUAGUUCUGGCCGCAAGGUCAGAGCCGAAAGCUGUCCAGAGGUGGACGGUGCAUCGGAUAUGCCGGGUGUCAGCCGC
rfam:Faecalibacterium prausnitzii A2-165 genomic scaffold Scfld1, whole genome shotgun sequence.